GUCGCCAUCGCACAAUGGAUAGUGCAAUCCCCUCCUAAGGGAUAGAUGCAGGUUCGAUUCCUGCUGGCGAUACCA
rnacentral:tRNA from 4 species